CAGGGAAGCGGAGCGGGACUGCCGCGUUCCCCUCGAUUUGCACCGUCACUCUGGCUGUUUGGAAGGAAGAGGGGAGGCGCUGUGCGUGCCUCCGUGUACCUGGAUCUGAGCGCAGAAGUGUGUAUGAAUGCCUGUGCCGCUGUGUUGGUAAACUUCAUGAGAUGGUAACUUGUCUAAAGAUAAUUUGGAGAAGAGGGGAGUGAGGCGCUGUGUAUAUGGGGAGUUUGUCGGUGUAUCUGAGUGUGUGUUUAGGUGUAAUAACACACCUAAAUUCAAGGGGCUUUGGAGUGUCUGCCUGUGCGACAACGGAGGAAGAAUCGACAUAAUUUCUCUGGCUGCGGGUUGCGCUGUCUGUAUCCGAAUAAAUCCAGCUCGCAUUCGUCCAGCAGGAAACGGCUCCCGGUUCCCGUGUACGGAGACGCAUCGGCCCAGCACGGGACGCGAGAUGGCUCCUCGUGCUCAUAAGGCGGCAGGUCUGGACUCCGAGGGAGGCUGGACUAUCAGCGCGCUCAGGCCGAGCAGCCUCUCGCUGCCCGGCAGUGCCUGGCAGUCGCCCGCCUCUGCCUGUGCUUCGGGAACCCGCCGGGCCGAGUCCGUCCGGGGCGAAAACUGAAAGCAAAUUCCACGGCAGAUGAAGCUCGAACUUUCUACGAAGCACGUUUGCAGCAGAGAUUCGGUGAUACCUUUGAGAGGACAGCGCGCGCAAAGUGGGGCGGUGGGCGAAGAGGGCACCGGGUGUCUGAGCUUGGUCCGCGGCGAAACGCGAGGGCAGGCGCCUCCCCUUCCUUAUUUCUCGCCCACUUCUCGGCCUCUGUCCGUAAAAAUAGUUUCCAAGGUGCCGCGGACUCCCAGGAUGUGAUUGUGGGAAUCGCACCAGGGAGGAGGCGGCUUUGUAAAAGUUGCAGAAAAAGCUUUACCCAGAAGCGUGCGCCCAGCCGGGCUCAAGAAAGCUUGGGACCAACUCGCCUUUUGCCCCGGGCAGAAGGAGCCCCCUGGAGAGCCCCCUGCGCAGCCCUCUCCCCUCACCUCGAAACCGCACGUAAAUAACCUCCCGCUGCCUGCCCUGCAAACUUCCCCGCGCGGUGCCGCGCUUGGCGGGCGAGGCCCGGACGCAGAGCCGGCCCGCAAGGCCGCUUGUCGGCCCGCUCAACCCAGCCUUGAUACAGGCUUGCGCGGAGGUGAGAGGAUGAGUGUGGUUCCGGCUCCCACUCGGUUGCCCAGACCAUCACCGCCGGCCUCCCAGAGCAAGAGCUUCCCCUCGGGAGCGGUGGUCUUGGGGGGCUGACGAGGGCGCAAAAUGCGCGCGCGGGGCUGGGGGGGUGCGGCCGCCGGUCUCUCCACGGGGCCUGUCGCCGGGCCGGCCGCGGCGGGUGAGUGAUGAGGGCAGAGAAGGGCGCCCAUAAAUCGCGGGUGUCAGGGCGAAAAACUCUCUUUAUUGUCUGCGUGAUGGAUGGGCCCGGGGACGAGACACCAAAUACUUCGUAUCGCCUUUAAAUGGGAACACAUUUUCCGCGGCCAUAAUUCAUGUUUUUUAAAUAGAAAGUUUGAAAUGUUGCCUAUAUUUCACCGGCCCUGACAUAUUUAUGAAUCGCUCCCUGCAUGCAAAUAUCAUUAUUUAAAGCGCCGGGGAGAGCUCGGGGGAGGGGAGGAGGCGCGGCCCCCGGGGCGUGGGGGUGAUGAACUGGGGAAAGGUGAAUGG